CCAGUAUAAAUUAAGAUCGUGGCCUUUGCGUCGCGUCGCGUCGCGCUCGCAACUCGUACCUACCAGAAAAAAAAAAAAAGCACAGACUUUCUAUAUGUACCGAACAAGUUUGUAUGACAAGGAAAACCGAUAAUGGCAACGAUGAGAGCUGCCAUUUUUUCCCGAGAGCAGGAUUCAAAUUAUUCCACCUGGAGUUAUUUAGAGCAAAAUCUGCAAAAUAAUGCUGUCUCUCGAGCAACUCAUAAGGAACGAAACUUUUGCUAGUUAGAACAUAAAGACAAUUUAAACCUCUACACUAAAGCGUUCGUGCGAUGCUUUAUAUAAGCGGUUCUCAAUUUUCCCUCACCUGCAGAAAUCCUGAACUGUUACACCCGAAGCCUAAAACAGAUUUUUAGAGCGAUUAUAAGAGAAUGGACUCCAUGAAGAAAAUAUGGUGGAGAGCAGAUUAGGUUUCCUUUCAACGUCAAACUUGAUGCUUCCAAGGGAUUAAGGACAAAAGGCUUCACUCAACUAUCAGCUAUUGAAAACUGCGAUAUCAUGUAUUGUAACUUUACCUUACGCCUCAGAAACAAACUUCAAACAUAUUUAUUAUAAAGUUCAAAAACAAAUUUUAAACAGCGUACUUUAUAACAAACACUAAACAGUCAAUCAUCCAUUCAAGUACAUCCAAGUUAUGCACGUUAUUAAAUUUCGAAUCAAAGCAAUUCAACUUCAUGUUUGCAAUUGAGAAAUAGUUGAAUUAUCAAGAAAUUCUGGAAGGACAGUGAAAAAUGAUAUGAUAAGCCAGCAAUUGACUGCCUCAGUGUUCACUAAUAUAGAUAUACAGAUUAUAACUUUUGAAAACUUCCAAUCACAGAGUGAUCAUACAACAUAUCUUGAUACAUUUCAGCGAGCAGAAAUUUGUACUGUCCGAUAGAUACCAAUGGCACAAAAGAGAAACAAGUCGAUAUUAGAAAGUUGACCUAAGCACCUCUGAUUGACAAGGAUGAUGCCGGCUAAACGGAGACACACGAUGACCGCCUCCUCCUGUGCAGAAUUUAUCAACCAAAGUGUUAAUUGGCACUGCAGUGAUUUUUCUACAAGCACAGUGCGAUUUCCUUUGGCCUAUUUGAUGCAAAAAAAUGUAGAGUAUCUGAGUCGAGGAGAGAUUUAAUUGAUUAGCGGAUCAAGGAAACCAAUUAUAAUGAAACUCGGCAAAUUUAUAGUACACGUGUAAAAUUGUUCACAAGAAAAUCUCGUCACACGAUAAACUGUACUAGAUGAAAUUGAAAAUAGGCUAACCUUUAAAUUUGUGAUCCUUUCUCAUGUAUUUCACGCCAACCAUCUCUGUCCUCUUCUAAAUA